rnacentral:rRNA from 1 species
CACGUAGGGCGCAAGCGUUGUCCGGAAUUAUUGGGCGUAAAGAGCUCGUAGGCGGUCUGUGCGUCCCGCUGUGAAAACUCGGGGCUUAACCCCGAGCCUGCAGUGGAUACGGCAGACUAGAGGUAGGUAGGGAGAAUGGAAUUCCCGGUGUAGCGGUGAAAUGCGCAGAUAUCGGGAGGAACACCGGUGGCGAAGGCGGUUCUCUGGGCAGUAACUGACGCUGAGGAGCGAAAGCGUGGGAGCGAACAGG